AGCUCUGCGCAGUGGCAGUAUUGUAGCCAAUGAGGUUUAUCCAAGGUGCGAUUAUUGCUAAUUGAAAAUAAGUCUGCUACCCCAUAGACACGCAGGCUGUCAGCGAUGGACAGAAAAUACCAAUCCACUCCUCAAAGUAAAUCUGUAGCCUGAAGUGACCCAUUCAUACAUUUUAUUUUAAUGUGCUUGGACA
rnacentral:snRNA from 1 species